rnacentral:pre_miRNA from 1 species
AGUGGGAUAGCUGGGUCAAACAAUGGUUCCAUUUCCAGUUUUCUGAGGAAUCUCCACACUGCUUUCCAAAGUGGUUGCAUCAAUUUGCAGUCCUAUCAGCAAU